rnacentral:lncRNA from 1 species
AGUUCUAGAUGACAACAUUUAGAUCUAGAGUAACUCUCUGCUCCACCUUUGAAUUUUUCAGAUGAAGAAACUGAGGGCCAAUAUGAUGAUGUGACUUGCCCCUAAAUCACUCAAGUAGUAAUUUCUUAAGGAGGUGGAGUCAAGAUGGCCACAUAAAAGGAGUAGAAGUUAAGACCUCUGAAUACUCUUCCUUACCAAUCACAAAUUGAAUGCUCCUAGGGGACUGAAAAUCAAGCCUAACAACAAGACAGAGCCAAGGAACCCUCCUGCUGGACUCAACUCAAAAGGGAAGGGAGUGGUAAAGGAGCUCUAGACAUUUUAUUUUUGGGAGUUACAAGUGAAUAAUUCCUUCUAUUAAUGUAAAUCAGCAUUUGGAAAUAUGGAUUCUGAGAGUUUCCUGAGGCAUGGAGAGAGGUUCAGCAACUUACCCAGGAGUCAUCAAAAUGAAGUGUUAAUACAAAAGUCAAGAUGACUUUCAAUGGCUCAGGAUGUAGU